rnacentral:rRNA from 1 species
GAUGAACGCUGACAGAAUGCUUAACACAUGCAAGUCUUUGGCGAAGCUGUGCUUGCACAGCCUAGCCAAGGCGGACGGGUGAGUAACGCGUAAGGAACUUGCCCUGCAGUCAGGGAUAACAGACGGAAACGACUGAUAAGACCUGGUAAAGUCAGGCGGACUCAUGUCCAGCCUGAUGAAAAGAGAUGCUGCAGGAGAGCCUUGCGUCCUAUUAGCUUGUUGGUGGGGUAACGGCCCACCACGGCGAUGAUAGGUAGCCGGCCUGAGAGGGUGGACGGCCACAAGGGGACUGAGAUACGGCACUUACUCCUGCGGGAGGCAGCAGUGGGGAAUAUUGGACAAUGGGGGCAACCCUGAUCCAGCAAUUCUGUGUGCAAGAUGAAGGUUUUCGGAUUGUAAAGUGCUUUCAGCAGGGAAGAAAAAAAUGACGGUACCUGCAGAAGAAGCGACGGCUAAAUACGUG